CCUACGGGAGGCUGCAGUGAGGAAUAUUGGUCAAUGGGCGCAAGCCUGAACCAGCCAAGUCGCGUGAAGGUUAACUCCCCUACGGCGUUUAACCUUCUUUUAUAGAGGAAUAAAGUGCGGCCCGUGUGCCUUUCUGUAUGUCCUUUAUGAUUAACGCUCGGCUACCUCCGUGCCAGCAGCAGCGGUAAUCCGGAGUAUCCAGUCGUUAUCAGGAUUUAUUGGUUUUAAGGGGAGCGUAGAUGGGUUGUUAGGUCAGUGGUGAAAGCUUGCGGCUCAAGGGUUGAAGUGCCAUUGAUACUGGCAGUCUGGAGUACAGGUGAGGUAGGCGGAAUGCGUGGUGUAGCGGUGAAAUGCUUAAAUAUCACGCAGAACUCCGAUUGCGAAGGCAGCUUACUAAACUGCGACUGACACUGAUGCACGAAAGCGUGGGUAUCAAACAGGAUUAGAUACCCGAGUAGUC
rnacentral:rRNA from 1 species